GAUGAACGCUGGCGGCGUGCCUAACACAUGCAAGUCGAACGAAGCACAUGGUUGGACCCCUUCGGGGGAAAGAGCAUGUGACUGAGUGGCGGACGGGUGAGUAACGCGUGGGCAACCUGCCCCGCACUGGGGGACAACAGCUGGAAACGGCUGCUAAUACCGCAUAUGCGCACAGCUUUGCAUGAAGCAGUGUGGAAAACUCCGGUGGUGCGGGAUGGGCCCGCGUCUGAUUAGCUAGUUGGUGGGGCAACGGCCCACCAAGGCGACGAUCAGUAGCCGGCCUGAGAGGGUGGACGGCCACAUUGGGACUGAGACACGGCCCAG
rnacentral:rRNA from 1 species